UAGCCGUAAACGAUACUCGCUAGGUGUCGGCCACGGUGCGACCGUUGUCGGUGCCGUAGGGAAGCCGUGAAGCGAGCCACCUGGGAAGUACGGCCGCAAGGCUGAAACUUAAAGGAAUUGGCGGGGGAGCACAACAACGGGUGGAGCUUGCGGUUUAAUUGGAUUCAACGCCGGAAAUCUUACCGGGACCGACAGCAACAUGAAGGCCAAGCUGAAGACUUUGCCGGAUUAGCUGAGAGGAGGUGCAUGGCGUCAGUG
rnacentral:rRNA from 1 species